rnacentral:tRNA from 1 species
GUGGGUGUAGCUCAAUGGCAGAGCACUUGAUUGUGGAUCAAGGGGUUGUGGGUUCGAAACCCAUCAUCCACC